UACGGAAGCCGGAAUAGCUCAUACAACAGCCACCGUUUACUAGAAUAUAGUUAUCCUACUUGGAUAACUGUGGCAAUUCUAGAGCUAAUACAUGCAAAAAAGCUCCGCCCGCAAGGAACGAGCGCAUUUAUUAGAAUAAAAACCAAUCGGGUUUCGGCCCGUAAUUUGGUGAAUCUGAAUAACUUUGCCAAUCGCACAGUCCUAGUACUGGCGAUGUAUCUUUCAAGUGUCUGCCUUAUCAACUUUCGAUGGUAGGUUAUACGCCUACCAUGGUAGUAACGGGUAACGGAGAAUAAGGGUUCGACUCCGGAGAGGGAGCCUGAGAAACGGCUACCACAUCCAAGGAAGGCAGCAGGCGCGCAAAUUACCCACUUCCAGAACGGAGAGGUAGUGACGAAAAAUAACGAGACAGUCCUCUUCGAGGUCUGUCAUCGGAAUGGGUACAAUUUAAAUCCUUUAACGAGGAUCUAUUGGAGGGCAAGUCUGGUGCCAGCAGCCGCGGUAAUUCCAGCUCCAAUAGCG
rnacentral:rRNA from 1 species